UACGUAGGGCGCAAGCGUUAUCCGGAAUUAUUGGGCGUAAAGAGCUCGUAGGCGGUUUGUCGCGUCUGCUGUGAAAGACCGGGGCUCAACUCCGGUUCUGCAGUGGGUACGGGCAGACUAGAGUGCAGUAGGGGAGACUGGAAUUCCUGGUGUAGCGGUGAAAUGCGCAGAUAUCAGGAGGAACACCGAUGGCGAAGGCAGGUCUCUGGGCUGUAACUGACGCUCAUGCACGAAAGCGUGGGGAGCAAACAGG
rnacentral:rRNA from 1 species